AUUGAACGCUGGCGGCAGGCCUAACACAUGCAAGUCGAGCGGAUGAAGGGAGCUUGCUCCUGUAUUCAGCGGCGGACGGGUGAGUAAUGCCUAGGAAUCUGCCUGGUCGUGGGGGCUAACGUCCGGAAACGGGCGCUAAUACCGCAUACGUCCUGAGGGAGAAAGUUGGGGAUCUUCGGACCUCACGCUAUCAGAUGAGCCUAGGUCGGAUUAGCUAGUUGGUGGGGUAAAGGCCUACCAAGGCGACGAUCCGUAACUGGUCUGAGAGGAUGAUCAGUCACACUGGAACUGAGACACGGUCCAGACUCCUACGGGAGGCAGCAGUGGGGAAUAUUGGACAAUGGGCGAAAGCCUGAUCCAGCAAUGCCGCGUGUGUGAAGAAGGUCUUCGGAUUGUAAAGCACUUUAAGUUGGGAGGAAGGGCAGUAAGUUAAUACCUUGCUGUUUUGACGUUACCAACAGAAUAAGCACCGGCUAACUUCGUG
rnacentral:rRNA from 1 species